GAUGAACGCUGGCGGCGUGCCUAAUACAUGCAAGUCGAGCGAACGGACGAGAAGCUUGCUUCUCUGAUGUUAGCGGCGGACGGGUGAGUAACACGUGGAUAACCUACCUAUAAGACUGGGAUAACUUCGGGAAACCGGAGCUAAUACCGGAUAAUAUUUUGAACCGCAUGGUUCAAAAGUGAAAGACGGUCUUGCUGUCACUUAUAGAUGGAUCCGCGCUGCAUUAGCUAGUUGGUAAGGUAACGGCUUACCAAGGCAACGAUGCAUAGCCGACCUGAGAGGGUGAUCGGCCACACUGGAACUGAGACACGGUCCAGACUCCUACGGGAGGCAGCAGUAGGGAAUCUUCCGCAAUGGGCGAAAGCCUGACGGAGCAACGCCGCGUGAGUGAUGAAGGUCUUCGGAUCGUAAAACUCUGUUAUUAGGGAAGAACAUAUGUGUAAGUAACUGUGCACAUCUUGACGGUACCUAAUCAGAAAGCCACGGCUAACUACGUGCCAGCAGCCGCGGUAAUACGUAGGUGGCAAGCGUUAUCCGGAAUUAUUGAGCGUAAAGCGCGCGUAGGCGGUUUUUUAAGUCUGAUGUGAAAGCCCGCGGCUCAACCGUGGAGGGUCAUUGGAAACUGGAAAACUUGAGUGCAGAAGAGGAAAGUGGAAUUCCAUGUGUAGCGGUGAAAUGCGCAGAGAUAUGGAGGAACACCAGUGGCGAAGGCGACUUUCUGGUCUGUAACUGACGCUGAUGUGCGAAAGCGUGGGGAUCAAACAGGAUUAGAUACCCUGGUAGUCCACGCCGUAAACGAUGAGUGCUAAGUGUUAGGGGGUUUCCGCCCCUUAGUGCUGCAGCUAACGCAUUAAGCACUCCGCCUGGGGAGUACGACCGCAAGGUUGAAACUCAAAGGAAUUGACGGGGACCCGCACAAGCGGUGGAGCAUGUGGUUUAAUUCGAAGCAACGCGAAGAACCUUACCAAAUCUUGACAUCCUUUGACAACUCUAGAGAUAGAGCUUUCCCCUUCGGGGGACAAAGUGACAGGUGGUGCAUGGUUGUCGUCAGCUCGUGUCGUGAGAUGUUGGGUUAAGUCCCGCAACGAGCGCAACCCUUAAGCUUAGUUGCCAUCAUUAAGUUGGGCACUCUGAGUUGACUGCCGGUGACAAACCGGAGGAAGGUGGGGAUGACGUCAAAUCAUCAUGCCCCUUAUGAUUUGGGCUACACACGUGCUACAAUGGACAAUACAAAGGGCAGCGAAACCGUGAGGUCAAGCAAAUCCCAUAAAGUUGUUCUCAGUUCGGAUUGUAGUCUGCAACUCGACUACAUGAAGCUGGAAUCGCUAGUAAUCGUAGAUCAGCAUGCUACGGUGAAUACGUUCCCGGGUCU
rnacentral:rRNA from 1 species